UUACGGCCACAUCACUUUGAAACACUGCUUCCCGUACGAUCACCGCAGUUAAGCAACGCCGAGCCAGGUUAGUACCUACAUGAGAGACGUGACAGCUUGGGAAUAAUUGGUACUGUAAG